UCUUGGUCAUUUAGAGGAAGUAAAAGUCGUAACAAGGUUUCCGUAGGUGAACCUGCGGAAGGAUCAUUAUUGAUUGGUCGAAAGACCUUAUCAGAUUCUACCACCUCUGUGAACCGUUGACCUCCGGGUUAAUAAUCAAACAUCAGUGUAACGAACGUAAGAGUAUCUUAACGAAACAAAACUUUCAACAACGGAUCUCUUGGCUCUCGCAUCGAUGAAGAACGCAGCGAAAUGCGAUAAGUAAUGUGAAUUGCAGAAUUCAGUGAAUCAUCGAAUCUUUGAACGCACCUUGCGCCUUUUGGUAUUCCGAAAGGCAUGCCUGUUUCAGNGUCAUGAAAUCUCAAUCUAAUAUGUUUUCUGAACAUGUUAGGCUUGGACUUGGGCGUCUGCCAGUGAUGGCUCGCCUCAAAUGACUUAGUGGAACAUCCCACAUCAGUGUUAGACGUAAUAAGUUUCGUCUCUCCUUGUGGUGAUGACUGCUCAGAACCUGCCAUCGCGCAUCUUUUGACUUUGACCUGAAAUCAGGUAGGGCUACCCGCUGAACUUAAGCAUAUCAAUAAGCGGAGGAAUAGGAAUACCCGCUGAACUUAAGCAUAUCAAUAAGCGGAGGAA
rnacentral:rRNA from 1 species